UGUACGAUCUCACCAAACUGCACUACAGCACCCGAAGAGCUGACCGAACGAGACCGGAUAGAUCACCAGUGCACAUUUACAUUGUUCAAAUAAAUUCCUUUUUACCUUU